rnacentral:rRNA from 1 species
AGCAGUCGCCGCGGGAAUACGUAGGGUGCAAGCGUUAAUCGGAAUUACUGGGCGUAAAGCGUGCGCAGGCGGUUAUAUAAGACAGAUGUGAAAUCCCCGGGCUCAACCUGGGAACUGCAUUUGUGACUGUAUAGCUAGAGUACGGCAGAGGGGGAUGGAAUUCCGCGUGUAGCAGUGAAAUGCGUAGAUAUGCGGAGGAACACCGAUGGCGAAGGCAAUCCCCUGGGCCUGUACUGACGCUCAUGCACGAAAGCGUGGGGAGCAAACAGGAUUAGAUACCCCAGUAGUCCCUGUCUCUUAUAA